GUCGAGAAUCUUUCACAAUGGGGGCAACCCUGAUGGAGCGACGCCGCGUGGAGGAUAAGGUCUUCGGAUUGUAAACUCCUGUCAUGCGUGAACAAGGUUGCUUGGUUAAUACCUGGGCAAAUUGAUGGUAACGCAAGAGGAAGAGACGGCUAACUCUGUGCCAGCAGCCGCGGUAAUACAGAGGUCUCAAGCGUUGUUCGGAAUCACUGGGCGUAAAGGGUGCGUAGGUGGCGUGGUAAGUCAGAUGUGAAAGCCCGGGGCUCAACCUCGGAACUGCAUCCGAUACUGGCAUGCUAGAGUACUGGAGAGGUGACUAGAAUUCUCGGUGUAGCAGUGAAAUGCGUAGAUAUCGAGAGGAAUACCAAAGGCGUAGGCAGGUCACUGGACAGUUACUGACACUGAGGCACGAAGGCCAGGGGAGCGAACGGGAUUAGAUACCCUGGUAGUCC
rnacentral:rRNA from 1 species